rnacentral:rRNA from 1 species
CAGCCGCCGCGGUAAUACGUAGGGUGCAAGCGUUAAUCGGAAUUACUGGGCGUAAAGCGUGCGCAGGCGGUUAUAUAAGACAGAUGUGAAAUCCCCGGGCUCAACCUGGGAACUGCAUUUGUGACUGUAUAGCUAUAGUACGGCAGAGGGGGAUGGAAUUCCGCGUGUAGCAGUGAAAUGCGUAGAUAUGCGGAGGAACACCGAUGGCGAAGGCAAUCCCCUGGGCCUGUACUGACGCUCAUGCACGAAAGCGUGGGGAGCAAACAGGAUUAGAUACCCCUGUAGUCCCUGUCUCUUAUAC